rnacentral:rRNA from 1 species
AACGAACGUUGGCGGCGUGGAUUAGGCAUGCAAGUCGAACGGGGUGGGGGCAACCCCACCUAGUGGCGAACGGGUGAGUAGCGCGUGGGAAACCUGCCCUCGAGACGGGGAUAACACUUCCAACGAGGUGCUAAUACCGGAUAAGACCACGGGAUCGCAUGGUCCUGAGGUCAAAGAUGGCCUCUGCUUGCAAGCUAUCACUUGAGGAUGGUCCCGCGUCCCAUUAGCUUGUUGGCGGGGUAAUGGCCCACCAAGGCGACGAUGGGUAGCUGGUCUGAGAGGAUGGUCAGCCACACUGGGACUGAGAUACGGCCCAGACUCCUACGGGAGGCAG